UAACGUAGGUGGCAAGCGUUGUCCGGAUUUAUUGGGCGUAAAGGAGCGUGUAGGCGGCCAGGUAGGUCUGCUGUGAAAACUCGAGGCUCAACCUCGAGAUGGUCGGCGGAAACCAUCUGGCUAGAGUCCGGAAGAGGAGAGUGGAAUUCCGUGGUGGUAGCGGUGAAAUGCGCAGAUAUCAGGAAGAACACCCGUGGCGAAGGCGGCUCUCUGGGACGGUACUGACGCUGAGACGCGAAAGCGUGGGGAGCGAACAGG
rnacentral:rRNA from 1 species